rnacentral:misc_RNA from 1 species
ACCAAUUCCAAGAUGGCGGAAAACACGGAGUCGGAAAAGGCAGAGAAACGUGGAUCAAAAAGACCUUUAGUAGAAGAUUACAGCGAUGAUGAUGACGAAGAAGAGAAAAAGAGAGUUAUAGAAAAGAAGGAAUAUCAGAGUAGACAUUGUCCUUACCUGGAUACUAUUAACAGACAUGUUCUUGACUUUGACUUUGAGAAGCUAUGCUCAAUAUCCUUAUCACAUAUCAAUGUCUAUGCAUGUUUGGUCUGUGGAAGGUAUUUUCAAGGUCGUGGACGGCACUCCCAUGCAUAUACUCACAGUGUUCUGGUGGAUCACCAUGUUUUUCUUAAUCUGCAUUCACUAAAGUUCUACUGUCUGCCUGAUAAUUACGAAGUAAUUGAUUCUUCCUUGGAUGAUAUCAAGUAUGUACUGAAUCCAACAUUCACAGAAGAAGACAUCAAACAAAUGGAUUCAUCAGCCAAGUUAUCCAGAGCCUUUGAUGGCACUACAUAUCUACCUGGUAUUGUUGGCUUGAAUAAUAUCAAAGCCAAUGACUAUCUAAAUGUUGUUCUCCAAGCUUUUGCUUUUGUUCCACCAAUCCGAAACUUCUUUUUGAGAGAAGAAAACUACAAAGAUAUCAAGAGACCUCCUGGAGAUAUCAUGUUUCAACUAGUUCAAAGAUAUGGAGAGUUGAUAAGAAAAAUAUGGAAUCCAAGAAACUUCAAGGCACAUGUUAGUCCUCAUGAAAUGCUUCAGGCUGUUGUUUUGUGCAGCAAGAAGAGAUUCCAGUUUACUGAGCAAGGUGAUCCUGUUGACUUCCUUUCAUGGUUUCUAAAUGCACUACACACAACACUAGGAGGAUCCUUGAAAAAGACAAACAGUGUGAUAUUUAAGUCAUUUCAAGGCCGGAUGAAAAUAUUUUCCAGAAAAGUUCCACAAACAGAGAAUGAAGAAGAGAAGGCUAAACAAAUGGGUGAAGAGGAAUAUCAGGAGAAAGUUACAGAAUCACCAUUUCUGUAUCUGAACUUGGAUAUACCAGCUUCUCCUCUUUUUAAGGAUGAACUGCAACAGAACAUUAUUCCUCAGAUUUCCAUUUUUUCACUUUUGUCCAAGUUUGAUGGAACAACUGAAAAGGAAUAUAAAACCUACAAAGAAUUAUUCAUCAAGAAGUUUGAGAUUACAAAACUUCCUCAGUACCUAAUCACUUGCUUUAGGAGAUUUGCAAAGAACACUUUUUUUACUGAGAAAAAUCCAACAGUUGUAAACUUUCCAGUCAAGUAAGUGGUGAAUGAAUGUUGAGUUUACCUACUGCUGCCUGCACCUCUGUAUUUCUUGGGUGUAAAUUUUGGAUCAAAAUUUACUAACAAGGAGCCUUGAUCUAGCCGAGUAUUUAUCCACUGAUCCUAAGAUCCAGGAUGCUCAUCCACACACUACAUAUGACCUUGUUGCCAACAUCUGCCAUGAAGGAGAGCCAGAGGGUGGAACAUAUCGACUGUUUGUCCUGCAC